rnacentral:rRNA from 1 species
AGUGAACGCUGGCGGUAGGCCUAACACAUGCAAGUCGAACGGAAGCACAGUAAGAGCUUGCUCUUACGGGUGGCGAGUGGCGGACGGGUGAGGAAUAGAUCGGAAUCUACUUUUUCGGGGGGGAUAACGGAGGGAAACUUACACUAAUACCGCAUACGACCUACGGGUGAAAGCAGGGGAUCUUCGGGCCUUGCGCGAUUGAUUGAGCCGAUGUCGGGUUAGCUAGUUGGCGGGGUAAAGGCCCACCAAAGCGACGAUACGUAGCUGGUCUGAGAGGAUGGUCAGCCACACUGGGACCGAGACACGGGCCCGACCUCCACGGGGGGGAGCAGUUGGGGAUUUUGGCGAAUGGGCGCAAGCCUGAUCCAGCCAUACCGGGUGGGGGAAGGAGGCUUUCGGGUUGUAAAGCCCUUUUGUUGGGAAAGAAAAGAAGGAGGUUGAUACCCCGCUGUUCUUGCGGUACCCAAAGAAUAAGCACCCGCCAACUUCGUGC